rnacentral:rRNA from 1 species
AUGCUUAACACAUGCAAGUCGAACGGAAACGAUGGAAGCUUGCUUCCAGGCGUCGAGUGGCGGACGGGUGAGUAAUGCUUGGGAAUCUGCCUAAUAGUGGGGGAAAACACGGGGAAACUCGUGCUAAUACCGCAUAAUCUCUACGGAGGAAAGGGGGCCUCUACAUGUAAGCUCUCGCUAAUAGAUGAGCCCAAGUCAGAUUAGCUUGUUGGUGAGGUAAAAGCUCACCAAGGCUACGAUCUGUAGCUGGUCUGAGAGGACGAUCAGCCACACUGGGACUGAGACACGGCCCAGACUCCUACGGGAGGCAGCAGUGGGGAAUAUUGCACAAUGGGCGCAAGCCUGAUGCAGCAAUACCGCGUGUGUGAAGAAGGCCUUAGGGUUGUAAAGCACUUUCAAUAGAGAAGAAAAGCUUAGAGUUAAUAACUCUAAGCAUUGACGUAACCUAUAGAAGAAGCACCGGCUAAAUCCGUGCCAGCAGCCGCGGUAAUACGGAUGGUGCGAGCGUUAAUCGGAAUUACUGGGCGUAAAGCGCGCGUAGGCUGUUUUAUAAGUCGGAUGUGAAAUCCCCGGGCUCAACCUGGGAACUGCAUCCGAAACUAUUCAACUAGAGUAUGGGAGAGGUAAGUAGAAUUUCCGGUGUAGCGGUGAAAUGCGUAGAUAUCGGAAGGAACACCAGUGG